GCCAGCAUGGUGCAGUGGUCUGAAUAUUGAGCUAAAACUCUGGAGACCAGGGUUCAAAUCCCUGCUUAGCCA